UACGUAGGUGGCAAGCGUUAUCCGGAUUUAUUGGGCGUAAAGGGAACGCAGGCGGUCUUUUAAGUCUGAUGUGAAAGCCUUCGGCUUAACCGGAGUAGUGCAUUGGAAACUGGGAGACUUGAGUGCAGAAGAGGAGAGUGGAACUCCACGUGUAGCGGUGAAAUGCGUAGAUAUAUGGAAGAACACCAGUGGCGAAAGCGGCUCUCUGGUCUGUAACUGAUGCUGAGGUUCGAAAGCGUGGGUAGCAAACAGG
rnacentral:rRNA from 1 species